AUGGACGUGGCGGGGGCGCAGGCGCGCGCGCUGCCGCUCCUCCUCGGCCGGACGGCCGCCUUCCUCCGGUGCUCCGUCUCGUUCUCCUGCGGCGGCGCGCGGCGGAGCUGGGCGUCCUCCGCCACGGCGGAUGGGGAGGACGGCGGCCAAGACUACGAGCGGGUGGCCAUGGACACCCCCGGCGCGUACUGGCUCGUGGACUGGAGCACCGGGAAGAGCGUCAUCGUGUGGGGCGGCGUCGAUGACGGCGAGGAGCCCGGCGUGCCGUCCUCGGCGGUCCUCUCCAGGGUCACCGCCGACCGCUCCGCCCCCAAAGGUGCAGCAAAUGGGGGGAAUAAUGCAGGUGUCGGGAGCUUCGGAAGACUGAAGGCCCAGAAAGUGCAGGCUUUAGCUAGGAGAUCAGCAGUCCGCACAAGCAUCGCACGGCGUAGUGAAUCUUCUUAUGCUGAUUCUGAUGAAGAUGGAAGCAAAUCUGGAAGAAGGAAGUUUGUCCCCGACCCAGCAUGCCGCGCAAAACAAAAUGAUGACUCUAGGGAUGAGAGGAGCAGGGCCGUGCGUUCUCUGAAUUCUGUGCUGAGGCAAUACAAAGGCGACGAUGAUUCAGAUCUUUCUGAUGAGGAGGCUGCUUUUGGCCCCAAAGUUUGGGGUAAAGUUGCCGAUGCUACGUCUUAUAGAAGAGAGGAUCGGAAGCAGAAGGUCCCUUUGGACAGUGGGUUUUUCAGCCGCAGAUCUUUUAAGGAGAUUGGCUGCGGCGAUGAGAUUCUCGGUGCAUUGAGAACCUUCGGGUUUCCUCAACCAUCACACAUUCAGGCUAUGGCAUAUGGUCCUGUCUUGGAGGGGAGGAGUUGCAUUAUUGCUGAUCAGAGUGGGUCUGGCAAGACAUUGGCAUAUCUCUGCCCUAUAGUUCAAAAUUUAAGGAAGGAAGAAGCUAUCGGGAUCCACAAACCAUCUCCCAGGAACCCACGCGUCAUAAUAUUGACACCUACUGCUGAACUUUCUUCUCAGGUCCUUCAGAAUUGCCGUUCAAUAUCGAAAUCUGGGGUUCCCUUCAGGUCAAUGGUUGCGACCGGCUUUGUGCAGCUAAAUAACCUCAGAUGUGCCGUGUUCGAUGAAGUGGAUAUUUUAUUUAGUGAAGAAGGCUUUGAACAAGUGCUUCAUCAGUUGAUUACUGUCGCACCAGUGACCACACAAUAUCUUUUUGUCACUGCAACUCUUCCUCUUGAUAUAUAUAACAAGGUUGUUGAAACCUUUCCCGACUGUGAGGUGAUCAUGGGACCUAGUGUCCACCGGACAAGCGCGCGUCUUGAAGAGAUUCUUGUGGACUGCAGUGGAAAUGACAAUGAUGAAAAGAAUCCGGAAACAGCCUUUUCCAACAAGAGGACAGCACUUCUAAAGAUUAUUGAGGAAUCUCCGGUUCGUAAAACAAUCAUUUUCUGCAAUAAGAUUGAGACAUGUAGAAAGGUUGAAAAUGUGCUGACACGGCUGGACAGGAAAGCGUCACAGAUCAAGGUUCUACCGUUCCAUGCUGCAUUGGACCAGGCGAAACGCAUCGCAAACAUGAAGGAGUUCCUGAAGAAACAGACUACCGACUCGAUGUUCCUCGUGUGCACAGACAGAGCUUCGCGAGGGAUCGACUUCACAAACGUGAACCACGUGGUGCUCUUCGACUACCCCUGUGACCCGAGCGAGUACGUGCGCAGGGUCGGCAGGACAGCCCGCGGCGCAUCGGGUGACGGCAAGGCUUUCGUGUUCGCGGUGGGGAAGCAGGUGUCCCUGGCCAGGAGGGUGAUGGAGAGGAACCUCAAGGGGCACCCGCUACACGACGUCCCGUGCUUCCAGUUCUAG
rnacentral:rRNA from 1 species